GAUCCACCCGCCUUGGCCUCCCAAAGUGCUGGGACUACAGGCAUGAGCCACCUCGCCUGACCUUACUAUGACUGAUUCUAAGCUACCAAGAUCCCAACUUUCUCCCUGAAAAAGUAUCCACUAUGCCAACAGUCCUUUCUUUGCUUUUUUGUGUGGUCUUACCACUUAAGCAUGAAUCCCUAAACUCUAUACUUUAAUUUUGUCCGUGUUUGAACUUCAUAUUGUGAAAAAAUAGAGUGGCUAUUCUUUGAUGUCUGACUUCUUUUGCCUUACAUUAUGUUUUCUUUGUUGUUGUUUCAUCUAAGUUGAUAUUGCAGCUAUAGUUUUUACUUGGCCAGUCUAUUAUAUUUCUUAUGUAACUACAAAUUCUUUAACCAUUUUACUGUUGAUAGCUAUUUGGAUUAUUUAGCUUUUGGAUAUUAUGAAAAAUGCUGCUUGGAACAUUCUGGUACAUGUGUUCUGGUACACAUGUGUAAAAAGACUGAAACAUAGUGUGUAUGUAUUUUAAACUUUGAUAGAUGAUUCCAAAAGUGUUUCAAUUCAUUUAUAUGUAUGAAUUAGAGAAUUCUAACUGCAAUAUAUUCCUGCAUAGUCUGAUGAAAGCAAAAAAAAAAAAAAAAAAA